AAAAGUUCGAAUGAAUUGUCUAAUAGCAAUACUCUUAAAAAUACCAGUAGGCUUAAAUUAACAUAUAGUAUUUUUAGAAAAAUAAUAGAUCAUAAAUAUAAAAGUAAGAUUACAUUUAAUAAACAUGUAGAAUAUUAUAAUUCAAACAAAAGAAGUUUUUUUUCAUAUUUAAGAAGAAAAAAAAAAAAAAGGUAAUGAAUCAAUGGAACGUGGGUUAGAACAAUCAGAAAAUGAGUCAUGUUCUGAUAAAGAAAUACAAAAUUUUUUUUAUGAAAAUAAUGAUGAAAUGAUAAAAAAAUAUAAUAUAAAUUAUGCAGUGUAUUUUUUGAAUAAUUAUCAUGAACAUGAAGUAUAUUCUAGAUUAUUAAAUAAUCGAUUAAUAUAUAAAGAUAUAUUGUUUAUUGAAAAAAAUAUGAAUAAUGAAAAUAUAAAAACAAUUGCUUCUUGUGGUUGUGUAUUAGUUACAAGACAGAAGUUACUUAAAUUACAUGAACAAAAUAAAAUUGUAGAAGAUUAUGAAUACAAAAAUAUAUUUUUAAAAAAAUUUUUUUUUAACGAUUAUCAUCAUAUCAAAUUAAUCGAUCAUUUAUCUUUAAUACAUCCUUUGCCAAAAAUUUGUUUCUUUUUUUAUAUGACACAUGAAUUAAUGCAUAUAUAUUUAUGGUUUAAAAAAAUUAAAAAAUCAAAGCAUUAUGAAUAUAUAUAUUCUAUUGUACAAAAAAUAUACAAUAAUAACUAUAUUAACAAACGCAUUACGAGACAUAAUAAACACAAACGCAAAUAUGAUCACCGCUAUACUUUUCAUUUAUUAAAAGAAAACAAAAUACCCAUACAUCAUAAAACAUUAGCAUGCUACUUAUCACACGAACUAGAAGAAGUUAUAUGUACACACGUUUCUCUGAAAGUUAUAAAAUGUAUCGAAGGUGUAUUUAAUAAUGAUAAUAUGUAUGAAAAACAAUUGAUAAACUAUUUCAUUCAAAAACAUGAAAAUGUAGAUUCUAGCACGUACGCAGAAAAUUAUGGAAUUUUUAAAAAUAUAAUUAAAAAUUACACAUUACCGAAUGUCAUACAAAUUAUUAUAGAUAUAUACUAUACACAAUUUUAUCCAAUAGUCACUUUGAAUUUGUUGAAAGCAGUUGUUUCUUUAAU
rnacentral:lncRNA from 1 species